AUGGAUAGCCGAAAAUUCCUUGCUUUCCCACUGAUGCCAAACAGGUUGGAGAUGAAGGAACCCAAGACGGCUGCACUCUUGCUGAGACAUGCUGGUCAUCAUUGCCUCCAAGCCCACUUUUGCCCGAAGCUCUGUGUCAGAAAUGCUGUUCCUUUGGGAACCACAGCCAAAGAAGAGAUGGAUCAGUUCUGAAAUAAGAAUACAGGCUCAAACCAUCCCGUUUGAACACAUCACUAUCUACAGUUGGUCUCUUCCCAUGGUAAUGUCCAUCUGUCACCGUGGCACUGGCAUUGCUUUGAGUGCAGGGGUCUCUCUUUCUGGCACAUCGGCCCUGUUACUCCCUGGGAACUUUGAGUCUUAUAUGGAACUCAUGAAGUCCCUGCAUCUGGGGCCAGCACUGAUCCACGCAGCUAAGUUUGCACUUGUCUUCCCUCUCAUGUAUCAUACCUGGAAUGGGAUCUGCCACUUGAUUUGGGAACUAGGAAAAGGCAUGAAGAUUCCCCAGCUAUACCAGUCUGGAGUGGUUGUUCUGGUUCUUACUGUGUUGUCCUCUAUAGGGCUGGCAGUCAUGUGAAGAACAGAGGUUCCCAGGAUCAUCUUCCUGUACAUUAUUACAUUCACCCAUCUUUCUGUUUGUCACUUUUAUCUCCAGCCUGGGAAAAGUUCCCCUUAUUUGCUUGGAUCCUUUUGCGCUUUCAGAUCCCCUUGGAGCAGUAGAGUACCUUGUAGACCAUAAUAGUGGAAAAGGGUGUAGUUUUCCCCUUGUGUUUAAAGAUGGGGUGGCUGCAAAAACUCCCCUUUUUUGCCCACAGCUUAUCUACUCUGGGCCUGGAAGCAGUUAUUCCCUUACCAUAUUGGGCUUUGAUUUCUGCUGAGGGUCAGCUUUUGGCUCCUUCUUCCUGACAGUGGAAACAAUGCUAACUCUGUGGCUUCUGCCCUGGGGACGGGGGGUGAAGCUUUGAGUGCCACUCUCUGUGUGUUGCUGGCUUAAACAACAAUUUUGUUCGCUGGUAAGAGCCCAGGCCAUUAACACCUAUGUAGUGUUAUUGAAAGAAGAGAGGUGAGGGUGGAAAGGAAUUAGUCUAUGCCAGCUAGAGGGAGAUAAAGAGGACUAGUUAGUUCUUGGAGCAGCUGCUUUGAGGAGAAACUAUACAGCUUUUGACACAAGAGGAAGGUCCAGAAAAUUAUCAUUGAACAUAUUAAAGGUUAUUUCUUUCUCUUGCAUUUCCAGAAAAGCCUCUUAAUUUUAUGCUUUCUUAUCCAAGUCAUGUACCAUUUUUUUUCUGAAACUGAAUUAAAAUAUUCUUAAAAAAAAAAACAAA